UGCUAGAGUUUGGGGUGUUUCUCUUUCAAUUGGAGUCAUUUUCUACCCUUUUUCUGGUCUGUCUUGCAAUGUAGGAGUAUGGUGUAAGUUUAGGAGAUACAUGAAGGAAAUAAGAGUUGAUUGUUCUUGUGGGUAGAAAACUUGAAGGGGAUUGAGGAGUGA